GAAAACUAUUAGGAUAGCACAUCUCUUCCAGCACAUCGAUGUAUCGAUAUCGAUAGUUACUACUCCUGUUGCGUAUGCUCCGAUAUUAGGCAUGUCUCCUAAAAUACCUGAAAGUAAUAUGACAUUGGGUUAGUAAAUAUCAGAAAAUUCAUUAAUGGAGUCGUGAAGUGAAGUGAUAUUUCACAUAAUUUUGGGAGAACUUUAGGACUCGUCAGAUAAAUUCGAUGAUGAGUGUGUCAUAUAUAUAAGUAAAGAACACAAACCAAUUGUAUUAAAAAAUACUUUGCGAUUGUAGUGGACACUUAUGUAUAUAGAUCAACGAUGAAUUAGCAAACAUUUUACGAUUUCUUAGGGGCUUUUUACCAAAUAUGCGUUUAGAUAUUUAAAGAUAAUGGACAUUUAAUAGGCGAUCAGAAAUGUGUUUACUUACUACUAAACAAUGACCGGAUUACGAGGGGUGGAUGGAGUGUUAAGAGACUAUUCGAUCAAUGCUGCCACUCAUCAUAUGGUGCGAUGCGAACAUGUACAGGGAGAAUGGAGAGUGUACCAACUCGGUAGUAACACAUGGAACCUGUUUUACAUGGGAAGAUUGCCUCCGAAACUUCGUUACCAGCCCACAGGUUUAAGUAGCGUGAGUAGUGGUCACGAAAGAAAAGAAUGUUCUAUAAGAAAAUCUAGGAACGCGGAGGAAUUGCGCUAGGUAAAAACUUACCCAGUAUAGGCUUUUAUUCCAGGAUAACUAAUUCUCAGGCAAUUUAAUAAACCCUUAUGCACCGGGUGUUGAAAAAAAGGAAGUUCUCAGAAUAUUUUGUGAGAAAUGCAUCUCUACAGCAAAUUAUGCGUUAUUGAAGUAAAUUAUCUCGGGUUUAUCGUGGACGUUAAACUAAAAUGAAAAGCCAAGCUGGCGCAUAAGAAUAUCUUAAGGCUGUAUCCCGAAAUCCAAUGACAACAAUCGAGAACUGCUCUAUCAACUGUGUGGCCAGUCCUGACUAAGCUUGAGCGCUUAACGCGUAGCAUACGGAUUCCCCUGACGAAAAAUUCGAGCUCAUUCAUUGAGCCAGUUUGCGGUGCUCCGUAAAAAGUGAACCGCUCUUGAAUAAGGGCGGGCUACAUCGAUCGGAACAGAUGAUAAUUCGAAGGUGCAGUGUCUGGCGGCGGGUGGGUAAGAUUUCCCAAUUCACUCUCUCUAAAUAUUUCUGGACCGAUUUAGCAACGUGUGACGUGGCCUUGUCAUGCAACAAAAUAAGUUUGUCAUGUCUACCGUCCCUUCCGGCCUCUUUUCUUUGAGAGCUCGAUACAAACCACUCUGAGAACUCCGGGCCCGGGGUGAAAAGUCCCCGAGGCCAGUAGCGUGGCUGACUGCAUCGAAAGCCUUGUUUAGAUCCAUCAUUAAGGGUUCGGCACGCGUAGUCGAGUAUCUUCGAAUUUUUUCGGUGCCCCUUCGCUCUUUAUCACUCACGUUAGAAUUACCACAUUGGAAGCGUCGAAACCACUAUUUACAAGUUGUAUUUGAUGGAGCGUGAUUACCGUAAAUAUUGAUUAAUAUACGACACGUUUUAGCUGGACUUUCCUUUAAAAGGUAAUAAUGAAGCAUGACUUCCCGCAAAUGCUGCAAAUGUUCGGAACGAACGUAGACAUUUUUGACGUGCGAUAGAAAAGAAUCUUUACGCUUCAAACGAAUGUCAACUGCGAUCAAGACCUCACAUAUACACCUUCAAAUCAUCAGUAUAUUACUAACGCGAACACAAAAAUAGUACCAGCAGCGACACCUCUUAUAAGGGCUGAAACUUGGGUAUUCGGAAUAGAUUUCGAUCCUAUUAAGGCAGCGACCACAAACACAAGUCGAAUAUUGUUCAAUUAUGGCUUAUCUGCAGGCUUAUCCUAUGGUUAAAACGGUCUCAAUGUAAUAGAGAGUUUAUGGAGUGUUCUUGGGCGAAAUGUUAGAUAGCAUCACAUAAGCGACCAACAGCACUUAAAAGGGCGUUACAAUAAGAGUUGGAGAAAAUAAUACUCGAAUAUAUGUAUAAAAACACUUGUAGGCUCUACUCAGACUAGGCUAAGAUAAGUUUUAAAACAAAAAGGUUACCCUACAAAAUAUUAAUUAGUAAAAAUCGUCAUAAAUUUUGAAAAUUAUAAAAACUCACGAAAUGAGCGUGAUGUUGUUUACUGCUGUGUUUUGUUUUUGUUGUAAAUAUUGUUUGUAAAUUAAAGUUACUUUGAAUUCAUUGGUUGGUGCUCAUAAUUCAAUUAAUGU